rnacentral:rRNA from 1 species
UACGUAGGGUGCGAGCGUUGUCCGGAAUUAUUGGGCGUAAAGGGCUCGUAGGCGGUUUGUCGCGUCGGGAGUGAAAUCCACUGGCUUAACUGGUGGCUUGCUUUCGAUACGGGCAGACUGGAGGUAUGCAGGGGGAGAACGGAAUUCCUGGUGUAGCGGUGAAAUGCGCAGAUAUCAGGAGGAACACCGAUGGCGAAGGCAGGUCUCUGGGCCGAUACUGACGUGAGGAGCGAAAGCGUGGGGGAGCGAACAGG